GAUACUGUGUGCUACAGGAUUGAAGUAGCAGUAUCUAAUGAACAGAGUGUCAGUCUGACAGAGGUAAGCACAAAGGUCAACAGCCUCUUAAUGACACUAGCUACCAGUAUGUCUGAAUCCAGAGACCAGUGGUACAACAAUAACAGCAGCAUUUUUACCAGUAUGUCUGAAUCCAGAGACCAGAGGCACAACAAUAACAGCAGCAUAUUUACCAGUAUGUCUGAAUCCAGAGACCAGAGGUACAACAAUAACAGCAGCAUAUUUACCAGUAUGUCUGAAUCCAGAGACCAGAGGUACAACAAUAACAGCAGCAUAUUUACCAGUAUGUCUGAAUCCAGAGACCAGAGGUACAACAAUAACAGCAGCAUAUUUACCAGUAUGUCUGAAUCCAGAGACCAGAGGUACAACAAUAACAGCAGCAUAUUUACCAGUAUGUCUGAAUCCGGAGACCAGAGGCACAACAAUAACAGCAGCAUAUUUACCAGUAUGUCUGAAUCCAGAGACCAGAGGGACAACAAUAACAGCAGCAUAUUUACCAGUAUGUCUGAAUCCAGAGACCAGUGGUACAACAAUAACAGCAGAAAAUCUACCAGCCAGGAAGAUCUCAGAGGAAGCCCGGGAUAUGUAACCGAGCUGAAUACAAAUCAUCCACUAGAAUGCUUAAGGAUCUGUGAAAUGGCCGAUGUGCUGUACUCGUAGCCAGGCACCAAGGUCCUGCUGCACUGACAGGUCCCAAACUCUAGUGAAAGAUACUAAUCCAGCCGUAUUACCAAGAUGGUUCAUUGAGAGACGGUCAGCCUCUGUUAUGCUCUGUCCUGUGCCAAGAGUAAACUCCGUUCAAACCAUUGGGGAACCAUAUUAAUGGACACAAUGAUGGAAUCAUUCGAGGGAAGAAGACAUAGUAGCUGAGGAAGAAAGUUGUCUUUGUCACGACUAUUCAGCCGAGGUAAACAGCCUUCCCUCCAAAAGAACACACUACCACCAACCUUCCCAAGAUAGCAGACAAACAAGAAGAAGAAAAAGCUAUUUAUAAUACCUUAGUGUUCCUGGGAGGGAUUGUCAUUCCUUGCGGUAUUGAUUCCGCCCCUUCAGCCUGACUCUGUAAUUGCGUUUUAACUGUAAGUCAUUAUAGAGGGACAGUUCAGGUACAGUAAUAAAGCAGCAAGCUAAAGGCUCACAAUAAACCAAGGUCUUUUAUUCUGCCAGCACUUCUCAAUGGUUCCCGUGUGAAAAGCAGUGGGAAGAUGUGUUGAGGUCGUAUUCAAUAUGAAGUGUAUUGAAUGCGAUUUUUUUAUUUUUUGUAUCUUUCUGUCUCUCUCGCGCCUCUCAUUUCCUUUCAAAUAAAGUUUAAUUCCAUGACUCUACUUCCUGAAUGGUGUGUUGUGUCGAGGUGGUCGCUGACUCGCUACCCCUUUACUAAAACCUAGUCAGUACAGCUCACUGUGCAAGUCUCGACUGUAUAGAACACUUACACUCAACCCUUAACCACACCUAGACAACCAAUACCAAUGUCCACAGAAUAGUUCCCUCCUGAGGACUGCGACUGAGAUGUUCAGCUGUGAAAGGAAAUGUUUGGAUUUACAGUGCAGUGCUGUAUAUCCAAUUCGGUUUCUUCUAACGUCUCUUUGCCCUCUUUAGUGCUGGUUUAUUGCAGCUGUCUGUUUGUUCACACAUUUGAAUAAUAACUGUAAUUAUAAACUGUAUUUCUUGCAGUCGCUGAGGAACACUUGAUGUUCCAAACACAUGUGAACACAGGGCAAUUAGACUAGUGUUGCAGCCUCCAUGGACCAGAUAACUAUGGGGUCGGAGGACACUAGAAACCUGUUUCCUGGCAUCUAUAGGUCUGCUCUAUAGUUUGGAAAGUCGUGAGAGGUGAGCGGAGAGGUGAGCUUGUUCCGACACACUCAGUCUGUAGUGAACACCAAGCGAAGAUGGAGAAACACACAGACAUACUUCAAACUUACAGAUGAAGCCAGACAAAGCCUCAAGAAGUCUGGGAAGCUGCAUGAAGUCACAAUAUCUGACAUUGGCAAACAUGGCUAACCAGUGUAACCAUUACCAAUCCAGUUACGUGAAAGGACGUACAUACGUUCUAUACCAGCAAUCAGUUCUGCUGCAGAGCCACCGAAUGUCUAGACUUCCCUCCGGUCACAGCCUCUCGUUGUUUCCCUGACAUUCUCCCCAUUCAUCUGUCAUUCACCUCCACAUAAUAGAGAGUGACUUACUUCCCUCCAUAGCCAGUAGGCUUGGCAUUGUGAGAUGCACUUAGGCUGCAGGGUGGACUCAAUUCUAAUUGAAAGCAGUCAAUUCAGGAAGUAAACAAAAUUACAAUUCAAUAAUAACAAAAAAUAACAUUUAUUUUCAAUGACUUCUCAAUCAACUGAAAAGUAAAAGCUAUUUAUUACAAAGGAAAACUGCUGAAUUUGAAAUUCAAAUCACUUACUGAAUAGACUGCCUUCAAUUAUAAUUGAGCCCAAACCUGUUAGGCUGGUAAAGACCUGAAACCCAAUAAAUCUCUGUUGACACAUCCAGUGUAUUCCUAGGCAAUGAGGUACAUUACAUUGACCAGCCUGGAAAAUGAACAUAUGUUUAGGCAGAGAAGGGUCACGUUUAUUAUCGUUCAUUUUUGUGACAAAGUGAAAUGCAAAAUAACAACAUGUUAAUGGUUGUUGGGAAAAUAAUGGAUUCCCACCAGUAAAUAAAGAUGUCAGACCAAUAUCCAGUUUUGGUUGAGCUGAGUUGCAAAUAAACGCAAAUGAAACGUUGACUGAUCAAAACCUGUGUAAGUUCAUGUUAUUUUGUAAAUGCCAACAGCAAGCCAUGUGACGGAACGUGAUUAUGUUGAAUAAGUAAGAUAAAAUGAUGAGGAGAACAUUAUGUUGAUAACCAAUUUUUGCCUCUGGGGUAAAAAAUGUUGAAUUGAUUCAGGUUGUGUGUGACUUUCAGCACCUAGCUGAAGAGCAUCUCGCUGUUUCCACUCUUGGUAGCAUAAAAUCAUUAAAAAUGAGUCAGCUUGUAUUGACUGCUCAAGAGCUAAACCACCUCUAAGAAAAGGUGACGAUGGAAGGAUAGUCAUGGUUGAUCCAAUAAUAUCAAUAUGAGGAACAUAAUCCCUGUCAUACUGUCUCACACUGGGGAGCCUCAAGUCUCAGCCACAGAGACAAAAUAAGCAUUGGGGCUAUAAGAAAAUAAGCCAUGAUGGCCGGCGGUACGACACAAUGUUAAUUAUCGCAUCAUUCAUCGACUGAUUUCAUCCCGAGAAAGCUCGUAUUUUUCGAACAAAGUGCCUCAGAGGAGUUACAUCAGCCAAAGACUGACAGUGCAUGAAAGUGUCACCUAUUGGACUCGGCUG